UUUGUUGAUGAUACUGGGAUUAGGAAGUGCCAUCAGAAGCGAAAAAAGAUUAGAUUACAGGCAAAAACAGAGU